CGCGGAACGCCGGGAAGCGGUCACUUCCAGAUGAAGGUUCCGGUUCCGGUGCGGGCGGAGGUUGCGUUGCCACGGCAGCGCGGUUGGCUGGCCGCUGGUUCUUGCGUUCCGGGUGGUGGCUGGGCUGGAGCAGGCUUGGAUCCGCCGUUCCUGGCUUUGGUGAGCUUCCCGGAGCUUCAGUAAGGCCGCGGCUGUUCGCGGCGGAAGCAGGGAAAGCGCCGGGCUCUGGCGGCCAGGCCUGCCCGGGGCUAUGGCGUCGGGGCCCGGCCGUGUGUCGCAGCCCUCCUGUGGUCCCGCUGCCCCCGUGGGAGCAGAGGCCCAGACCCCUUCCCGUGGUUCCCGCCUCUGCAGCGCGAUUAUUCCACUAAAACAACUUUGAUUUUUAAAGUUUGUAAAGAGCUCUCGUCUGUGUGAUCGGGGCUUCGCUGACUUUCCAGCCGACCUAAGCCUCUGGGCCUGGGCCCAGGAAGGGUUUGUUGAAUGGGGAACUAAGAAAGGAAUUGGUUCGUUCGACAGACGUUUUCUGAGCAGCUGCUGCGUGCAAGGCACGGUGCCGGCGCGGGACCUGUGCCCAGAGCUUGAGAAAUGAGAAGCAGAGUCAUUGAUUCCAGGUAAAUCAGAGGAACAAACAUCAUACAGAAAUAUACAGGACAGUAACAUACAGGAAGCGAUGUGAUGUCGAAGCUUAACUGUUGUUUCAAAAGUCCAGCAUCUGGUGUACCUAACAGUAGGGGCUAUAUUAUUUGCAAAGUCACCUAACUUUUACUCAUACUUAUGUUCUGAUCCCACAUGCUGCGGAGCAACUAAGCCCGUGCACCACAACUACGGAGCCUGCGCCCUAGAGCUCGCGAGCCACAACUACUGGAGCCCGUGAGCCACAACUACUGGAGCCCGCACGCCUAGAGCCCGUGCUCCGCAACAAGAGAAGCCACCGCGAUGAGAAGCCCGUGCACAGCAACAAAGACCCAACUCAGCCCAAAAUAAAAAUAAAUAAAUAAAUUUAUAUAUAAAAAAAAAGAAUGAACCAGAAGUAAAAAAAAAAAAGAUUGUUAAUAACACCUUUUUGACAGACUUGAGCACUUCGGGUUCCUCUUUUUACCUUCACAAGCACUUCUUAAAUCUUACUGCGGAAUCGUAGCAAAGCCAGCAAGUCCCACAGAAAAUUAAAUAUUCCUGAAUUAUCUCCAGGGUAGGUAUGUAUUGGAUACAGAUGUGAUUUUUAUGCUUUGCGAAACUAAACUGACAACAAUUUCAAUGCAAAACUCCAAUGAAACAAAUAACCCAUAGCUUUUCACUUCUGAAAGUUUCAUUCUCUGUUGUCCCCAUGCUGCUUUUUCUCAGUGAGGCCUGAAGUCCCUGGCUAUAUAUAGGCUUUAAAAAUCAGACAUCUGCUGGACUUUGUUCUAUUGAGAACUUUAUUUCGAGGGAAAGAGCCCAAAUCAUAUCUCCUGUCAGGUAAUAUUAAGAAUUAAGUGGUAAUCACAAAACAUGUUAAGACUUAAGUAAAGGUGAUAAAAGAAUUGUUGACUUUUCCUCAACUGUCUGUUUAGUGAAAGAUUUUAAUGUUUUGUGUUAUGUUUCUUUUUCUUUUGCAAGCAGAUAGAUUCCAUAAUUCAAACUGUCAUUACAUUUCCAGCGACUUCUGAGAAGGUGCCCAGACCACAGAAUUUAGAAAGCAAGGAGCCAGUACUGUUGUGUGUCACACUUGUUAGGAAGAUUUAUCUGUUGGCAGGAGUCUUGUGUCCCCCUCUGAUAAUCACUGAGCUUGCAGCCAGACGAACACUGAGAAAACUUUAUUGUUUUCCUUUGAAUGAUGGCUAAGAUGUAUUGCCAAGGCCAUAAAUAUUCUUUAUG